rnacentral:tRNA from 1 species
GGCAUGGUACGCCAAAUGGGAGAGCGACGGAAUUCAAACCUCCGUGUUUGUGGGUUCGACUCCCACCCGUGCUAC